UUGAUCCUGGCUCGGGAUGAACGUUGGAGGCAUGCCUUGAGACAUGCAAGUUGGUCGGAAAUCAUUUCAAAUUUAAUUUCCGUAGCGGACGGGUGCGUAACACGUGAGAAUCAACCCUUAGGGACGAGGAUAAAGGUCGGUGACGAUUUCUAAAACUCUAUAAGCCGUGUCAAUUACCCAUGUAGUUGUCGGUGAAGAUUUCCUAGGGACGAGCUUGCGCCUGAUUAGUUAGUUGGCGAGGUAAUGGCUCACCAAGACUAUGAUCAGUAGCUGGUUUGAGAGAGCGGUCAGCCACAUUGGGAUUGAGAUACGGCCCAAACUUCUUCGGGGGGCAGCAGUCGGGAAUUUUCCGCAAUGGGCGCAAGCCUGACGGAGCGAUGCCUUGUGGAGGAUGAAGGAUCAUAAAGGUUCGUAAACUCCUUUUAUUAAGGAACAUUAAUUGUCGUUUCCGUAUUUAGAUAGUACUUAAAGAAUCAAGUAUCGGCUAACUCUGUGCCAGCAGCCGCGGUAAUACGGGGGAUGCAAACGUUGUCCAGUUGUAUUGGGCGUAAAGCGUCCGUAGGUGGACUGGUAAGUUUAUUGUUAAAGAUUCUGGCUCAACCAGGAAAAAGCAAUGAAAACUGCUGGACUAGAGAGUGGACGGGGUGAAGAGAAUAUCUAGUGGAGCGGUAAAAUGCGAUGAUAUUAGGCGGAACACCAGUGGCGAAAGCGCUUCACUAGACCAUUUCUGACACUGAGGGACGAAAGCUAGGGGAGCAAAAAGGAUUAGGUACCCUUGUAGUCCUAUCGCUGUAAACGCUGGGUACUAGAUGUCGCAGUGGUGCGGUGUCUUAGCUAACGCGUUAAGUACCCCGCCUGGGGAGUACGCUCGCAAGGGUGAAACUCAAAGGAAUUGACGGGACCCCUCGCAAGCGGUGGAGCAUGCUGUUUAAUUCGAUCAACGCGAAGAACCU
rnacentral:rRNA from 1 species